rnacentral:rRNA from 1 species
AUGUGCGGGAAUUUGUCAUCUAUUUCGUCAAACUUCUGGUGGGGUGAAGCAAAUGGUCAGAAGAGGGUCCAUUAGAUCGCUUGGGAUAAAAUGUGCACGAGAAAGCAUGAAGGAGGGCUAGGGUUUCGGGACCCGGAGGCCUUUAACCAAGCUUUGCUUGCCAAGCAAGCUUGGCGACUAUUUCAGGUGCCAUCGUCGCUGUGUGCUAGGGUUUUGAAAGCCCAGUAUUACUCAGAAGGAUCAAUCCUAAAUGCAACCUGCCCAUGGGGGUUCAUACACAUACAGAAGCAUUUUACACAGGAGGGACGUGCUGAUGGAUGGCCCUAG